AUUGAACGCUGGCGGCAGGCCUAACACAUGCAAGUCGAACGAGUGGCGGACGGGUGAGUAAUGUCUGGGAAACUGACUGAUGGAGGGGGAUAACUACUGGAAACGGUAGCUAAUACCGCAUACCAUCAGAUGUGCCCAGAUGGGAUUAGCUGGUUGGUGGGGUAACGGCUCACCAAGGCGACGAUCCCUAGCUGGUCUGAGAGGAUGACCCGCCCCACUGGGAAUUGGACACGGUCCAAACUCCUACCGGGGGCAGCAGUGGGGAAUGUUGGACCAUGGGCCGAAGCCUGAUGCAGCCAUGCCGGGUGUGUGGAGGAGGCCUUCGGGUUGUAAAAUUCUUUCAGCGGGGAAGCGUUACCCGCAGAAGAAGCACCGGCUAACUCCGUGCCCGCAGCCGCGGUUAUUC
rnacentral:rRNA from 1 species